AGGAUCAUUACUGAGUUACCGCUCUAUAACCCUUUGUGAACAUACCUACAACUGUUGCUUCGGCGGGUAGGCCGUCCCCUGAAAAGGACGCCUCCCGGCCCGGACCGGACCCCCCGUGGGGCCGGACUCGGCGCCCGCCGGAGGAUAACCAAACGCUAUUUUAACGACGUUUCUUCUGAGUGGCAUAAGCAAAAUAAUCAAAACUUUUAACAACGGAUCUCUUGGUUCUGGCAUCGAUGAAGAACGCAGCGAAAUGCGAUAAGUAAUGUGAAUUGCAGAAUUCAGUGAAUCAUCGAAUCUUUGAACGCACAUUGCGCCCGCCAGCAUUCUGGCGGGCAUGCCUGUUCGAGCGUCAUUUCAACCCUCAAGCUCUGCUUGGUUUUGGGGCUCUACGGUCGACGUAGGCCCUCAAAGGUAGUGGCGGACCCUCCCGGAGCCUCCUUUGCGUAGUAACAUUUCGUCUCGCACUGGGAUCCGGAGGGACUCUUGCCGUAAAACCCCCCAAUUUUUCAAGGUUGACCUCGGAUCAGGUAGGAAUACCCGCUGAACUUAAGCAUAUCAAUAAGCGGAGGA
rnacentral:misc_RNA from 1 species